rnacentral:rRNA from 1 species
UACGGAGGAUGCAGGCGUUAUCCGGAAUGAUUGGGCGUAAAGCGUCCGCAGGUGGCUGUGUAAGUCUGCUGUCAAAGAGCAAAGCUCAACUUUGUAAAGGCAGUGGAAACUACACGGCUAGAGUGCGUUCGGGGCAGAGGGAAUUCCUGGUGUAGCGGUGAAAUGCGCAGAUAUUAGGAAGAACACCGGUGGCGAAGGCGGCUCUCUGGACAGUUCCUGACGCUGAGGCACGAAGGCCAGGGGAGCAAACGGG